UACGGAGGGUGCAAGCGUUAUUCGGAUUCACUGGGCUUAAAGGGCGCGUAGGCGGGCCGAUACGUCAGUGGUGAAAUCUCCGAGCUUAACUCGGAAACUGCCGUUGAUACUAUUUGUCUUGAAUACUGUGGAGGUAAGCGGAAUAUGUCAUGUAGCGGUGAAAUGCUUAGAUAUGACAUAGAACACCAAUUGCGAAGGCAGCUUACUACACAGCGAUUGACGCUGAGGCACGAAAGCGUGGGGAUCAAACAGG
rnacentral:rRNA from 1 species